UCCUGGUGUAGCGGUGAAAUGCGCAGAUAUCAGGAGGAACACCGGUGGCGAAGGCGGAUCUCUGGGCCAUUACUGACGCUGAGGAGCGAAAGCGUGGGGAGCGAACAGGAUUAGAUACCCUGGUAGUCCACGCCGUAAACGGUGGGCACUAGGUGUGGGCGGCAUUCCACGUUGUCCGCGCCGCAGCUAACGCAAUAAGUGCCCCGCCUGGGGAGUACGGCCGCAAGGCUAAAACUCAAAGGAAUUGACGGGGGCCCGCACAAGCAGCGGAGCAUGUGGCUUAAUUCGACGCAACGCGAAGAACCUUACCAAGGCUUGACAUACGCCGGAAAACCCUGGAGACAGGGUCCCCCUUGUGGUCGGUGUACAGGUGGUGCAUGGC
rnacentral:rRNA from 1 species